rnacentral:rRNA from 1 species
UACAGAGGUCUCAAGCGUUGUUCGGAUUCAUUGGGCGUAAAGGGUGCGUAGGUGGCGCUGUAAGUCGGGUGUGAAAUUUCGGAGCUUAACUCCGAAACUGCAUUCGAUACUGCGGUGCUUGAGGACUGGAGAGGAGACUGGAAUUUAUGGUGUAGCAGUGAAAUGCGUAGAGAUCAUAAGGAAGACCAGUGGCGAAGGCGGGUCUCUGGACAGUUCCUGACACUGAGGCACGAAGGCCAGGGGAGCAAACAGG